rnacentral:rRNA from 1 species
CUACGGGGUGCUGCAGUGAGGAAUAUUGCACAAUGGGGGGAACCCUGAUACAGCAACGCCGCGUGGAGGAUGACGCAUUUCGGUGUGUAAACUCCUUUUAUAUGUCAAGAAAAUGACGGUAGCAUAUGAAUAAGCACCGGCUAACUCCGUGCCAGCAGCCGCGGUAAUACGGAGGGUGCAAGCGUUACUCGGAAUCACUGGGCGUAAAGGACGCGUAGGCGGGUUGGAAAGUCAGGUGUGAAAUCCUACAGCUUAACUGGAGAACUGCACUUGAAACUUCUAAUCUAGAGUAUGGGAGGGGGAGAUGGAAUUAGUGGUGUAGGGGUAAAAUCCGUAGAUAUCACUAGGAAUACCUAAAGCGAAGGCGAUCUCCUGGAACAUUACUGACGCUAAGGCGUGAAAGCGUGGGGAGCAAACAGGAUUAGAUACCCCGGUAGUC